UACGUAUGGUGCAAGCGUUAUCCGGAUUUACUGGGUGUAAAGGGAGCGCAGGCGGCACGGCAAGCCUGAUGUGAAAGCCCGCGGCCCAACCGCGGGACUGCAUUGGGAACUACCGGGCUGGAGUGCCGGAGAGGUAGGCGGAAUUCCUAGUGUAGCGGUGAAAUGCGUAGAUAUUAGGAGGAACACCAGUGGCGAAGGCGGCCUACUGGACGGUGACGGACGCUGAGGCUCGAAAGCGUGGGGAGCAAACAGG
rnacentral:rRNA from 1 species